GCCGCGCCGGGGCGAGCGCGCAGCGCUGCGGGGAGCGCCGAGCCGGGGCCACAGCAGGGCGAUUGGCUGCGAUGGAAUAGAUUAGACAGAGCCAGAAUUGUAUCUAUCUAUAUAUCUCUUUCUAUAUCAUGUAUGUCUCCCCGAGGAAAGGGGUAGGGGACCGAUGCUCGAAGCGCAGGCAUGCGAGGCGAGUGGGCAGCUGCCGGUUGCCGGGCGCAGGCUGUUCCGCGGGGCCGCAGCCCCUGCCCGGAGGGUGCCCAGCGCUGCGCGGCCUCCCGCAGCCCCCGCCCGGCCCGGCACCACGGGACGCCCCCGCAGCUUUCAGUGAAAUCUAAUUCAUAAAUUGGACAUGCUCAGGCUCAGAAGACUAAUUCAUCCCCUAAAACAAACGCAUCAGUGAUUGCAGGCACCUAAACGUGACAAGCGUCUCAAUAUACCGAGGAUCCAGAGAAAACAAAUUCAUUCAGGAGCCCGAAACGUAAUUAAAACUACUGCCAAGAAAAUGAGUUGAGAGCAGGAUGUUACCAAGAUUAUUAAGUUGCUGCGGGGCUGAGGCACACGGACCGCUAUAGGGGUACAUACAGAUAAUGUCAGCCUUUGGGUAACGGGAGGCAGAGCGAUUCCUGGAGGUCGCCGUCUUGCAAGCGCAAGCCUGGUAACAGCUCGCCGUGGCCUCAUCCUGCUCCCGGGAAGGGACUGGCGAGCCCGGGGGCUCGGCGGGGAAGGAGCGGGCCCCCACCGCCUGCUGAGCCCCGGCAGAGUGGCGACAAAGGGGCCGGCGGCGCCCGUAUCUCUGGCACUGGCUACAGCAUCCCUGUCAUGUGUAUUCAGCACACUUUUAAUAACCAUCACCUGUACGUGCGCUAGUAAAUGCUCCCGACGCUGAGCAUUGCUUGCUUGCAGGAGCGAUCGCUGCAAUGUAUUUUUUCAAUGUAGAAAGCAUUUUUUUCAUGCAGGGCACAGUACGGCAAGAACUGCUCAAUACUAAGGAGUAGGAAAUAUAGAUAAGGGGGCUGGGGAUGCAGAAGGGGGAGGGAACACACAGUAUAGAUGGAGCAAAGUGAAAGGGAAGGAAGCUGAAAUGGAAAUGAUAUGAACAAGAAUCCCUGUUGAUCCACAUGCAUCAACGACCUCCUAUUCAGUGGUAGUUACAAACACAGCAUUCGAACAGGGAAGAGCAGGGGUAAAUAAAACAAGAUAUGCUUUUUAAAAAUAAAUCACUUGUUAACUACUCUUACUUACAGUCCUUGUCUUAAAUAUGCAAUUUCACACUGAUCAAUGCAGAAUGAUAUAUACUAUACUCUGCAUUUCACGUAAUAAAAACACUUAAUCCAGAUAAUUGGCUUCUGGGACAGAGAUCAAUAGAAAUGUUCCUUAUUUGACUACGUUAGCAAGUCAAAAUUAAUUCUAAUUUACAUUUGCUUCAAAUCAAUAUGCACUUAGUGACUUACACAGGCUCUUUAAAAAGUUAAGCACCUAUAUUGACCAGAGUCAUAUAUAUGUCAGUAACAAGUACAUGUGUGGGAAUUAGAGAGGGGGAAAGUGUUACUGCAGAACCAAGUCUCUGACUUUCAUAGAGGAAAGGAGGCUAAAUUUAUUUGUGUUUGAGAAGUGCUUUAGCGUCCUAGCCUAAAACCUGUAGAAAUAUGCAGCUAUUAAUCCCACGAUUUAUGCAGGCAUCCAAACAUCAGUUAUAGUUGCACUCCAAGCACUUGGGAACAGGCUUGCCUCCUACUUUAGUUUGUACAGCGAGGUCUUGACCUCAGCUGGGACGCCUCUGGGUGCUAUUUUAGUAAUAGUAAAAUAGUAAUAUAAAAUAUUAAAACUCUAAACUCAGUGGAUUGGACAAGUUACAAAAUUUCCUGGGAAAUCCAAGAGCAGUGCUCUGAAUGCAGAAAAGGAUCCAGUCCCAGCCAAGGGCAGGAGAGGGGAAAAGACAAGAGACCAGAAUACAGCAAAACAGACCAACUGAAAUAGGCACCAAAAACAGACAGAAGGCUACAGUCAGAAGACAAAAACAAACCAGAAAAAUGCACAGAAGAAAUCUCAAAUGCUAUAAAAUCUGACAUGUAACACGCAAAGUACAAUGAGACCUAAAUGGAUCCACCACAGUAAAAAGGAGGAUUGCAGCUUCGGUAGCAUCUCUGCAAGAUAAAAAAGAUGUCACAUCAAAACUUCAUUGCAUCUGGUUUUAACUCAGGUUGCAUUACCUUUUCUUUCACGUUACUUGCAAAUUUUUUUCCCCUUUCUCCUCUCCUUCUACUCUUUUUUUCUAAACCAAAAAAAAUCCCAACAACUUUGGCUUGGAUUAUGUUUUCAUAACAAUUACUUCUUCUAUGAUUUCCCCUCCUUCAAAAAAAGCUAUCAAUGCUACAUUUCUAAGCCCAGUAUAAAUGAGAGCUCUCCUUUCAACUCUCCCAUUCCUUGUUUGCAGUCAGGGGAGUGCUGACACUUAGCAGUGGGUGUACAUUGUUUAGGUGCAGCAAUUGACACCACAAGGCCAAUCCCUUUGCCAACACUUUGUAUAUUAAGAAUGUUACAAGCUGCUGUGAUAUUCCAUCAUCAUCAUGUAGGGGGCAACUCAUGACACAUUAUUCCACAAGGUACCACUGGAUUUAUAGUGCCCGCAGAAGAAUGACAUCUCAACAGAAAUAGGCCAGGUAAAAACCCAACUCAAGUGACAGCCACUUGGUCACAGUUCAAUUCUGUGGCAACAGAUGCGAUUCUGUGCACACCUCAGACAGCUCUUACCACCUUUGCAAACCGCUGUGGUGAUUUUAACUCGUGACCCAUCACGAGUUAUUGCUGUGCUUAUUUCUGUUGUCUGAAUGAACAUAGUAUGAAAUCUGUACCAAGUGGGUUUUGCUACAAGAGAACGGCUGGAGUAACACUCCAAAACCUACACUGCAAUUAGAAACAUAGAACUUCCUAGAAAGGCGCACUGAAAGACUUGUGCAGUGCCACACUCGGAGCCUUGUGCCCAGGGCUCUGUCCCUCUGUGCUGCCAUAACAAGAAUGAAGCACAUUUUGAAAGACAUCAUCAGAACUAUGGCUGCAGGAUAUGCCUCGAUCUGGAAAGCACCUCACAUUUACAAAACUGCUUCAUAAGCAAGAGCUCUGCAAGACCAUAACACUGAGACUUUUAUCAUAGCCUGUAUUCAGAAUAAAUGGAAGGCUUUAAGAUUAAA